GUAUCUGGGCUCAGGCGGGACCACCCGCUGAACUUAAGCAUAUCACUAAGCGGAGGAAAAGAAACUAACUAGGAUGUCCCCAGUAACGGCGAGUGAAGCGGACAAAGCCCAAGAUGGUAAUCUCCAUGUUUCACAUGGCGAAUUGUAAUCUGUAGAAGUUUGACUUACCGGGUGGUAACGCAGAAGUGAUCUGGAACGGUCCGCCAAAGAAGGUGAUAGCCCUGUCUGUAGUGUUGCCGCCUAACGAGUCUUAUUUCAAAGAGUCGGGUUGUUUGGUAUUGCAGCCCUAAGUGGGAGAUAAACUUCUUCUAAGGCUAAAUAUAUGUGGGAAACCGAUAGCGAACAAGUACUGUGAAGGAAAGAUGAAAAGCACUUUGAAAAGAGAGUCAAAAGACCUGAAACCGUUGAGGAGGAAGCGGUAGAGAUGAAUUCUAGGGGAGACUUGUGCGUAACCUAAGUUAUGAGUGUGGUGGCAGUGUCAUCAUAUUUAUUUAACGGAAGUUAUAUGAGUUGCCUCUUGAGGCCGGAUGGAGUGAUGAGAUUAUAGAGGUUUUUUAAGUUUGGCUGUGCUUGCAUGGCAACUUGAAAAUAUCGAUAAACUCAUGGCUUGAGGAGCUUUGUGCGAUCCGGUCAAAAUGGUCUUUACCGACUCGUCUUGAAACACGAACCAAGGAGUCUAACGUACGCGCGAGUGUGCCGGUUCAAAAACCGAUACGCGUAAUGAAAGUAAAAGAUGCCAAACUUGUGCAGCAUCGACCGACCAUGAUUCUUUGAUGAAAGGUUUGAGUACGAGCGCGUCCGCUAGGACCCGAAAGAUGGCGAACUAUGCCUGCGUAGGGUGAAGCCAGGGGAAACUCUGGUGGAGGCUCGAAGCGAUACUGACGUGCAAAUCGUUCGUCGAACGUGGGUAUAGGGGCGAAAGACUAAUCGAACCAUCUAGUAGCUGGUUCCCUCCGAAGUUUCCCUCAGGAUAGCUGGGACAAUUGCGCAGUUUUAUUAGGUAAAGCGAAUGAUUAGAGGCCUCGGGGGCUACAGGCCCUCGACCUAUUCUCAAACUUUAAAUUGGUAAGAACCCGGGCCUAUCUUAAGUGAGGCUCCGGGGUUCAAUGCGUGUCCUUAGUGGGCCAUUUUUGGUAAGCAGAACUGGCGAUGAGGGUUGCUCCUAACGUUGGGUUAAGGCGCCAAACUACGCGCUCAUCAGAAACUACAAAGGGUGUUGGUCCAUCCAGACAGCAGGACGGUGGCCAUGGAAGUCGGAACCCGCUAAGGAGUGUGUAACAACUCACCUGCCGAAUGGACUAGCCCCGAAAAUGGAUGGCGCUUAAGCGCGUGGCCGAUACCCAACCAUCGCCGCGAGAGUGAGGCGGCGAUGAGUAGGAGGGCGUGGGCGUCGUUGUGAAGCCUCUGGCGUAAGCCUGGGUUGAACGUCGUCUAGUGCAGAUCUUGGUGGUAGUAGCAAUUAUUCAAAUGAGAAUUUUGAAGGCCGAAGUGGAGAAGGUUUCCGUGAGAACAGCAAUUGGUCACGGGUGACUCGAUCCUAAGACAUGGGGGAAGUCCCUGUUAAGUGUACGUUUGUACGUAGUCGAAAGGGAAUGAGGUUAAUAUUCCUCAAGCUGGAUGUGGGUGUUGUAUGGCAACAUAAGUGAGCAUGGGAACGCCGGUACGAGCCUCUGGAAGAGUUAUCUUUUCUUUUUAACAGUCUAAUGACCCUGAAAUGGUGUUAUACCGAGAUAGGGUGAUAUGUCUGGAAGAGCGCCUCGCUUUCUGAGGCGUCAGGUGCGCUCGUGACGGUCCGUGAAAACCCAUGUGAGAUAAUUUCACACCAGGUCGUACCCAUAACCGCAUCAGGUCUCCAAGGUU
rnacentral:rRNA from 1 species